rnacentral:rRNA from 1 species
GAUGAACGCUGGCGGCGUGCUUAACACAUGCAAGUCGAACGGGAAACCUUUUAAUGAAGCUUCUGCAGAUUUAGCUGGUUUCUAGUGGCGGACGGGUGAGUAACGCGUGGGUAACCUGCCUUAUACAGGGGGAUAACAGUCAGAAAUGACUGCUAAUACCGCAUAAGCGCACAGGACCGCAUGGUCCGGUGUGAAAAACUCCGGUGGUAUAAGAUGGACCCGCGUUGGAUUAGCUGGUUGGUGGGGUAACGGCUCACCAAGGCGACGAUCCAUAGCCGGCCGGGGAGGGUGAACGGCCACAUUGGGACUGCGACACGGCCCAGACUCGUACGGGAGGCAGCAGUGGGGAAUAUUGCACACUGGGGGAAGCCCUGAUGCAGCGACGCGGCGUGAAGGAAGAAGUAGCUCGGUAUGUAAACUUCUAUCAGCAGGGAAGAUAGUGACGGUACCUGACUAAGAAGCCCCGGCUAACUACGUG